GACGAACGCUGGCGGCGUGCUUAACACAUGCAAGUCGAACGGAAAGGCCCUGCUUUUGUGGGGUGCUCGAGUGGCGAACGGGUGAGUAACACGUGAGUAACCUGCCCUUGACUUUGGGAUAACUUCAGGAAACUGGGGCUAAUACCGGAUAGGAGCUCCUGCUGCAUGGUGGGGGUUGGAAAGUUUCGGCGGUUGGGGAUGGACUCGCGGCUUAUCAGCUUGUUGGUGGGGUAGUGGCUUACCAAGGCUUUGACGGGUAGCCGGCCUGAGAGGGUGACCGGCCACAUUGGGACUGAGAUAGGGACCAGACUCCUACGGGAGGCAGCAGUGGGGAAUAUUGCACAAUGGGCGGAAGCCUGAUGCAGCAACGCCGCGUGCGGGAUGACGGCCUUCGGGUUGUAAACCGCUUUCGCCUGUGACGAAGCGUGAGUGACGGUAAUGGGUAAAGAAGCACCGGCUAACUACGUG
rnacentral:rRNA from 1 species